rnacentral:rRNA from 1 species
GACGAACGCUGGCGGCGUGCCUAAUACAUGCAAGUAGAACGCACAGUUUAUACCGUAGCUUGCUACACCAUAAACUGUGAGUUGCGAGCGGGUGAGUAACGCGUAGGUAACCUGCCUGGUAGCGGGGGAUAACUAUUGGAAACGAUAGCUAAUACCGCAUAAUAUUGAUUAUUGCAUGAUAAUUGAUUGAAAGAUGCUAUUGCAUCACUACCAGAUGGACCUGCGUUGUAUUAGCUAGUAGGUGAGGUAACGGCUCACCUAGGCGACGAUACAUAGCCGACCUGAGAGGGUGAUCGGCCACACUGGGACUGAGACACGGCCCAGACUCCUACGGGAGGCAGCAGUAGGGAAUCUUCGGCAAUGGACGAAAGUCUGACCGAGCAACGCCGCGUGAGUGAAGAAGGUUUUCGGAUCGUAAAGCUCUGUUGUAAGAGAAGAACGGGUGUGAGAGUGGAAAGUUCACACUGUGACGGUAUCUUACCAGAAAGGGACGGCUAACUACGUG